UAUUUAGCUGGUUUAUGGAUAUGAUUCACAUAUGCUAUGUAGUCUUUGAAGAUUAUAAGCGUACAUGUAUUUACUUACUUAUUUUUUAUUGGUAACAGUGUGUCCAGUUAACUACAGAAGUUCCAUCUAUCAGAAGAAUGAUGGAAGAACUUUUUAAUAUGUUCUUACUAACCACAAUAUGGAAUAUCGGUGUGUGUUAUUAGUCAUAUCAGUGUAUUUUGUACAUAAAUUUCCAUCCAUCCCAUUUAAACAUGAAUAUACAUAUACAAAUACAUAUAUACAUAUUUGUCAGCACUGUGUGCAUUUAGGUAAUAAUUUAAGUUUCUAUUUGAACUGUUAUAAGUAAGAGAACUCCUUGCAUUAUUGAUGACCAUUUUGGACAUAUCUCGCUAGUUUUGUAACUCUUUAACUCUCUCAUAGAUCUCACAAUGUCUCAUACUGUGUUUAUAGUCUGCCUGGACUGUAUUUAUAGUGGGCUGGCCAAAGGUCUCCAGUAUGCCAUGAUCAGCCCAACCCAUCGAACUAUCACCAAUGGCAUGGAGGUGUAACCUUUUCUCCUGUUGCACAUUUUUACUUAUUCUUCCGUCAGUUUGUUUGUGAUUUCCUAUAAUUGACAGGACAGAAAGUUCCCAAGCUCUUGUUAUUGAUUCUUUCUAUUGGAUUGUUCUAGUCAUUUAUAUUUAUUAUCAGAAGUUGAUUUUCUCAUCUGCUGCAACAAAUCCAAAGCAUUGACUUUAUUGUUAUAGCAAAUUCUUUCAAGCAUAUUUUUGCCUUAUUGCCUUGUAUAUGUCUUUGGCCUCAAGCGUACAGUAAGUGUCACAAAGAAAAGGCCGAUUCUAUCUUAAGAGUGGAAGUCCUACAUUUUUAGUUAAAAUAAGCUGACCUAUUUUUGGAAUUCAAAAUAAAUUGUUUAGGUGAUGAACUAUCUUUACUUCGUUAUUACAUGAUUUAAUUUACUGGGACGAGAUCGACAAGAGGAAGAAUUUCUUUUACCAAACAAUGUCAUAUUCAUUAAGAAUAUAUGUGAGGGGUGGUUCUUGGGAUUUUUCUUGACUGAUCCUCCUACGAUUGCAACCUUAACAGACCAGAAAUAUUUUGGAUUUAGGUUCCUUGGAAGACCUAGAAAAGUUCUCUGUUCCAGGUAAAUGUAAUUUUUUUUGUUUGUUUUACUUCAAGCAUCUUUUUCACCACAAUUCUUCACAACAAGCACACUUCAAUUUUUUGAGACUCUGCAGCAUUGAAUAUUGAUACAAAUAUCAAUGUCCUUAUCACCUAGUUGAAGGCCUUCUCUUUGAUGAUAUUGAACAAUAUGCUGCACCCACACCAUGUGGUUAUCAACAUCUGUGUGGGAACAAACAAUUUUUGACCUAGUUGUAUUGUCAUUGUAGGUAUGGACAACAUUAUACUCUGCACAUUCAAAAAAAUCAGGGAAGAUGAAGGUUUCUGGUAAACUUUAACUUCAAGGUGCAGAUGUUAUAAAGACAUAGCAGGCUAUCAAAAUCCGUGAGAUGUUAUAGUGCAUUUAAUUUUUCAUGAAAAACAUAAAAUUCCAGUUAAGCAUGUGCUAAUACCUUCUACAUGGCCUGCUGCUCAUCCAUGAUUUUCCUGAACAGGUGCUAUUUCCUCUGGGUUGCCAAAUCAAUGUCAUGCUAUGAGGAAAUCAUUCAAGAUACCAUGUUUCUCUGUUAAAUUUUUCUGUAUCGGAAAUUUCCUCAGAUAGUGACUUGAUUUAUAUAUUUGAUUUUUUUUCAGGACUUCUUACUUCUAUGAGUUUUGCAUUGAUGAACAGAUAGUUGCUCAAAAUUUCUUCUUUUGAAUCAUCGCUUGUAAGCCUGCACUGAACGUGGUAGGCGAAAACUCCCAUUUCGUAUUAGUGUUAUCAUCUUUAAUAUUAUGUUAUUAUUUAUUAGUGGGUGAGUUUUCCCAAUCAAGUAGACUUUGAAUGCCUUUGAUGUUAUAGACAUAUGUCUCUGGUGCUUCUGCCCCAUAGUCUUAAAUGGGAGGAUGAUGGUGUGAAGCUACGUUCAACUGCUUCAUCACUAUCAAUUCUAUAGUCGUUCAUAUUUCAUACUCCAUUGUUCACAGAUGAAAAGGAUUUUGUUUCCAGUUUGAGGCUUAGGCCUGUACAAGAUUGUCAAAGCUGCCACAACAAGGAAAUCUUGCUGUGAUGCAGUGGGUAAAAUGGAUUUCACUGCUGUUAUCUAUUAUAUCUGGUUGGAGCGCAACCUUUAUAGAUGAAUCUCCAAGUCCAAAUAUUUUUAGCAAAUUUGGGAUCUUCUUCGAUGUUAAAGUCAAGAUAUUUUUUACCUUUCCCAAGUGUGCUGACACCUCUGGAAAUAGGCUUAUUGUUCACUCUUGGGGUCUUACCCCUUAUAUUGUACAGCCAAUGCCUACCCCUCCUCUGCAAAGGCGGGCCCUUGUAAUUUGUGAUCUCUUUUGUUUUCUUAUCCUCCUUUGAUAAUGAAUUAUUUAUUCAAAAAAAUAAAAAAAAUAAAAAUGUAAGUAGAAAA